rnacentral:lncRNA from 1 species
AAAUAAACCUAAAGAAUAAAUAAGUCUAAAGAAGACUGUUACUGAAUGUGUGCAAUCAUGGGUUACUUCUAAGUCUUCAGACCACCUUAUUGGUCCAGCGUAUGAACAGUCUGAUGUCAUGUGGUGUUUGGGAACCUUUUAGACACUGACCAGUGAGUGUACUAUAGGAGAUGUCAACUGGAUUUUCUUACAGCCCAUCUCUUUCCUGUC